UAUUUGACAAUAGAGGCUUCUGUUUUAGUGCUGGGAACAGUAGCCAGACUUUACUGAUAGUAAGUAAACAGGAGGUGGGUCAGUGUAGGCUCUUUGUUUUCCACCACUCCAUUAGUUGCUAUCAUUGUUAUUCUUUGUGACGCCACAACUACAUUGACAUAUACAGUCCAAGAUUAGCUGCUUAUUCGUCUAAAAUAAUGGUGAUUUCUUAUGCUUGUUUUAGGAUUUGGAUGAUGUGUUGGAGAAAGCCAGGAAGGCCAAUGUUGUGGCCCUUGUGGCAGUUGCCGAACAUUCAGGAGAAUUUGAAAAGAUUAUGCAACUUUCAGAAAGGUAUAAUGGGUUUGUCCUGCCAUGCUUGGGUGUUCAUCCAGUUCAAGGACUUUCACCAGAAGACCAAAGAAGUGUCACACUAAAGGAUUUGGAUGUAGCUUUGCCCAUUAUCGAGAAUUAUAAGGAUCGGUUGUUGGCAAUUGGAGAGGUUGGACUAGAUUUCUCCCCCAGAUUUGCUGGCACUGAUGAACAGAAGGAAGAGCAAAGACAAGUCCUAAUCAGACAGAUCCAGUUAGCCAAAAGACUCAAUUUGCCUGUAAAUGUGCACUCACGCUCUGCUGGAAGACCUACCAUCAGCCUUUUACAAGAGCAAGGUGCUGACAAGGUGCUGCUGCAUGCAUUUGAUGGUCGGCCGUCUGUAGCCAUGGAAGGAGUAAGAGCUGGGUACUUCUUCUCAAUUCCCCCUUCUAUCAUAAGAAGUGGACAGCAGAAACUUGUGAAACAAUUGCCUUUAACUUCUAUAUGCUUAGAAACAGAUUCACCUGCACUAGGACCAGAAAAACAGGUACGGAAUGAGCCCUGGAACAUUUCUAUUUCAGCAGAAUAUAUUGCCCAGGUGAAAGGGAUCUCAGUGGAAGAAGUUAUAGAAGUGACAACACAGAAUGCAUUAAAACUGUUUCCUAAGCUCCGACACUUGCUCCAGAAAUAGCUUCAAAACCAUCCAUUAC
rnacentral:sRNA from 1 species